rnacentral:rRNA from 1 species
CCCUUAGAUGUUCUGGGCCGCACGCGUGCUACACUGAGUGGAUCAGCGGGUCAGGUUGCGCGAAAGCGUUUCCUAAUCUUUAAAUCCGCUCGUGAUGGGGAUUGACGGUUGCAAUUUUCUGUCAUGAACGAGGAAUACCUUGUAAGCGCGGGUCAUCAUCCCGCGCUGAAUACGUCCCUGCCCUUUGUACACACCGCCCGUCGCUACUACCGAUUGGAUGGCCUAGUGAGACCCUCGGACCGAUAGGCUGUCGCUGCAGCAAUGUGGCGACUGGCCCGUCUGGGAAGAAGGUCAAACUUGACUGUCUAGAGGAAGUAAAAGUCGUAACA